UACGGAGGGGGCUAGCGUUGUUCGGAAUUACUGGGCGUAAAGGGCGCGUAGGCGGCCUUCUAAGUCAGACGUGAAAUCCCCCGGCUUAACCUGGGAACUGCGUCUGAUACUGGGAGGCUUGAGUAUGGGAGAGGGAUGUAGAAUUCCAGGUGUAGCGGUGAAAUGCGUAGAUAUCUGGAGGAAUACCGGUGGCGAAGGCGGCAUCCUGGACCGACACUGACGCUGAGGAGCGAAAGCCAGGGGAGCAAACGGG
rnacentral:rRNA from 1 species